GUUUUAAUAGUUUAACACAGAACUUUGGUCUUGUAAACCAAGAGUGAAUAUUUUUAUUCUUAAAGCA
rnacentral:tRNA from 1 species